rnacentral:rRNA from 1 species
UACUCGAGUGGCGAACGGGUGAGUAACACGUGGGUGAUCUGCCCUGCACUUCGGGAUAAGCCUGGGAAACUGGGUCUAAUACCGGAUAGGAGCCAUUUUUAAUGUGAUGGUUGGAAAGUUUUUUCGGUGUAGGAUGAGCUCGCGGCCUAUCAGCUUGUUGGUGGGGUAAUGGCCUACCAAGGCGGCGACGGGUAGCCGGCCUGAGAGGGUGGACGGCCACAUUGGGACUGAGAUACGGCCCAG